UACGUAGGGGCCUAGCGUUGUCCGGAUUUACUGGGCGUAAAGCGCGCGUAGGCGGCUUUGCAAGUCGGGUGUGAAAUCCCCAGGCUUAACCUGGGAACUGCAUUCGAGACUGCAUUGCUAGAGUAUGGGAGAGGGAAGUGGAAUUCCGGUGUAGCGGUGAAAUGCGUAGAUAUCGGAAGGAACAUCAGUGGCGAAAGCGACUUCCUGGACCAAUACUGACGCUCAUGUGCGAAAGCGUGGGGAGCAAACAGG
rnacentral:rRNA from 1 species